GGGCCCGCACAAGCGGUGGAGCAUGUGGUUUAAUUCGAUGAUACGCGAGGAACCUUACCAGGGCUUAAAUGUAGUAUGACCGGCUUGGAAACAGGCCUUCUCUUCGGAGCAGAUUACAAGGUGCUGCAUGGUUGUCGUCAGCUCGUGCCGUGAGGUGUUAGGUUAAGUCCUGCAACGAGCGCAACCCCUAUUCUUAGUUGCCAGCGGUUCGGCCGGGGACUCUAAGAAGACUGCCAGCGCAAGCUGAGAGGAAGGUGGGGAUGACGUCAAAUCAUCACGGCCUUACGUCCUGGGCCACACACGUGCUACAAUGGUAGGUACAGAGGGAAGCCACCCCGCGAGGGGAG
rnacentral:rRNA from 1 species